CCUUAAGUAGGACUGGUCAGAAUCUUGCAUUAGUCUUAUGCAGGAUGAAUCUGUCAUGGAUAAACUUGAGACUCUUCAAAGCAACAUAACAAACAUACAAGGUCAAGGCUUAAACUCCCACUCUUCAUCUGAUAGUAAAAAGUGUCUUUCACCCAGAUUUUUUUUUUUCAUUUCUUGAUCCAGUUCCCACCUACCUCUUGAGGAGCCAUUGCUUUUCUUUUUUCUGUUUUGAAGUUCUCUCCCAGUUUGUGAUGUUUCUCCUUGUUGCACAUAGCCACUUCCUUUCUUCCUCUGUUAAAAAAGCUCCUCUCCCCAGAAUACUCCCUUGUAGCACCAUGAUUGAAUGACCACUCUUUCUUAAGUGAACUUCUUGAAAACUAGCUUGAAUCCAUCCUCUUCAUUUCCUUACCUCUUAUUUCAGUUUCAGCCUAUUGCUGUCUAGCAUAUGAUAUAUCUGCCAUUCUGCAUGUGAUAUAUCUCAAUGCCUGUCAUCAUUUCCAGCAUUCCACCCUAUAUGUGGCCUAUAUACCGCCAUCUUCUGUCCCAUGCUCUUACUGAAGUCUGCCUAGAUUAGACCAUUUUAAAGUCCAUCACUACAUACUUCUUCCUCUUCUGGUCCUUUAGCUUGAUGGACACACCUGGUUUCAUACUUACUAAUUAUUGCAUUUGGCAACUGUAUUUACUACUUAAACCAUUCUUUCACCCUUACGUGGUUUGGGUUGGCUGUCGCUCUCAGGAG
rnacentral:lncRNA from 1 species